rnacentral:rRNA from 1 species
AAAUUGAAGAGUUUGAUCAUGGCUCAGAUUGAACGCUGGCGGCAGGCCUAACACAUGCAAGUCGAACGGUAACAGGAAGCAGCUUGCUGCUUUGCUGACGAGUGGCGGACGGGUGAGUAAUGUCUGGGAAACUGCCUGAUGGAGGGGGAUAACUACUGGAAACGGUGGCUAAUACCGCAUAACGUCGCAAGACCAAAGAGGGGGACCUUCGGGCCUCUUGCCAUCAGAUGUGCCCAGAUGGGAUUAGCUUGUUGGUGAGGUAACGGCUCACCAAGGCGACGAUCCCUAGCUGGUCUGAGAGGAUGACCAGCCACACUGGAACUGAGACACGGUCCAGACUCCUACGGGAGGCAGCAGUGGGGAAUAUUGCACAAUGGGCGCAAGCCUGAUGCAGCCAUGCCGCGUGUAUGAAGAAGGCCUUCGGGUUGUAAAGUACUUUCAGCGGGGAGGAAGGUGUUGUGGUUAAUAACCGCAGCAAUUGACGUUACCCGCAGAAGAAGCACCGGCUAACUCCGUGCCAGCAGCCGCGGUAAUACGGAGGGUGCAAGCGUUAAUCGGAAUUACUGGGCGUAAAGCGCACGCAGGCGGUCUGUCAAGUCGGAUGUGAAAUCCCCGGGCUCAACCUGGGAAC